UCCAAAUAAGAUAUGCAUCACAAACUAUCUCCUUAUGGCAUGAAAGGUCACACACACGUACACACAGCCUCGGUUGCAGAUGAUCUCCUCCAAAAGGUCAUUAAAAGGUACCGGAAAUGAAAUAGACUUAUUCAGUCUCAAUUUUCCUGUUGAUGCUGCCUGUUGUUGGUUAGGAAAGUGGCAUCCUAGAGGAGAACGUUGAUGCUGCAAAAAUUUUAACAAAAAAUCCUUAUUUGAAUUUAUCAUGUCAAGAGCAUCCAAGAAAUCCUUGAAGAGAAAAGUUUUACCGGGACAUUCGAUUCCAAAAAGAAAAAAGAAAUAGUCAGAUAUGAAGCUUUUUUCCUUGGAACAGUCCAGAGUAAACUUACAGGCAGGAUUUUUUCCACCACUAUUCUUCUUGUGUGUGAGCCUUUUCUUGACAUUAUG